AUUGAACGCUGGCGGCAUGCCUUACACAUGCAAGUCGAACAGCAGCACGGGUGCUUGCACCUGGUGGCGAGUGGCGAACGGGUGAGUAAUACAUCGGAACGUACCUUAUCGUGGGGGAUAACGCAGCGAAAGUUGCGCUAAUACCGCAUACGCCCUGAGGGGGAAAGCGGGGGACCGUAAGGCCUCGCGCGAUUAGAGCGGCCGAUGUCUGAUUAGCUUGUUGGUGAGGUAGAAGCUCACCAAGGCGAUGAUCAGUAGCUGGUCUGAGAGGACGAUCCGCCACACGGGGACUGGGACACGGGCCAGACUCCGACGGGAGGCAGCAGUGGGGAAUUUUGGACAAUGGGCGCAACCCUGAUCCGGCAAUGCCGCGUGAGUGAAGAAGGCCUUCGGGUUGAAAAGCUCUUUUGUCAGGGAAGAAACAGCAGCUCUAACACAGUCUGCGAAUGACGGUACCUGAAGAAUAAGCACCGGCUAACUACGUGCCAGCAGCCGCAGUAA
rnacentral:rRNA from 1 species